AGUUCCUUAGCUCAGUUGGAUAGAGUAUCUAACUACGAAUUAGAGGGUCAUGUGUUCGAAUCACAUAGGAACUA
rnacentral:tRNA from 1 species